CUAUGAGUAUAGUUUUUAAUCAAUUUCAUGCUAUGAGUGUAACAGAAAUAACAUAAUAAUAUGCAAGGAGUAUAGAUGCUAGGAGAGUAUAUUAUAUUCAUUGAUGUGGAUAUAAGCCCAACUAUAAAAUAAUUAGGACAGAGAAACCUGUUCCAUUCAUUGUCCCUCCAGACUGAUUUGCAAACUGUGAGAUCAAGGACAGCUUUCUAUCAGUUAUGUAUUGGAAAACACAUGCUGGACAUGCUGAACCAUGCAUCUGUAAAAACUACAAGAAAAAAUGGUUGUAGAGAAAUUAAUGAGGUGCCACCCAAUAAAAUUUCAUGAGAUUCAAGAAUGUGAAGAUACAUGAGCAAUUUCAGAUGAUGCUGCAAGGUGUUUGGGAGAAAAUAAAAAGAGAAACUGAGUAAACAUUGAAUUUGAUAUUAAGAUAGUUUUUUAGCUCACAAAUGUUUUUUGUUUUGUAUCUGUAUUAAAUUUUUAUUAUACAGUAGGUACUUAGCACCCCAAUUAUCCGUGCUCCUCGUGACCGGAAGUGGCACGGAUAAUUGAAAAGCACAGAUGAUCCAAUCAUUAAUUUCUUAUACAGUGAGCACGUAAAGGUUGGAAUAAAUUCAUUUUCUCGAGAAUGGACGACUUUUGAAAAAAAUCCCAAAACAGGUCAAUUGUUAAUUUUAAAUUACGACUUUUUGGCAUAUAUAUAAUACUAGUGACGUCACCCAUCUGGGCGUGAUGACGUCAUCGAUGAUUUUUUUAAAUGAGACUAGUAGUCGUGUGAUAGCUCAUUUGAAAGGUAAUUCAAUUCUCUAUUCAGUAAUAUAAACAUUAACAUAAUUAUUUAUACAGGGUGUCCAAAAAAAUUUUUUUUUGUAUUAAAUUUAUUGACAUAAAAAGAAGAAUGUAUGUAAUUUAUUUAUUUCAAAAUACAUUUUACUGCUCGCAGAAAACAGAAAAAAAUGUAUAUUUGAAAAAUAAUCAUUGCUUUUUGCUUAAAUUAAAUGUUCAAAUUGUCACGAGGCUGGUGGGUACCUGCUUUAAUAUUGAAUUUAAGCCAAAAACAAUAUUUAUUUGCCAAAAACACAUUUUUUCCUGUUUUAUGAUAGCAGUAAAAUGUAUUUUGAAUUAAAUAAAUUACACUCAUUCUUCUUUUUAUGUCAAUAAAUUUAAUUCAAAAAAAUUUUUUUUGGGCACCCUGUAUAAAUAAUUAUGUUAAUGUUUAUAUUACUGAAUAAAGAAUUGAAUUACCUUUCAAAUGAGCUAUCACACGACCCCUAUUCUCAUUUAAAAAAAACAUCGAUGACGUCAUCACGCCCAGAUGGGUGACAUAACUAGUAUGACAUAUAUGCCAAAAAGUCUUAAUUUAAAAAUAAAAAUUGACCUGUUUCGGGAUUUUUUCCCAAAAUCGUCCGUUCUUGAGAAAAUGAAUUUAUUCCAACCUUUACGUGCUCACUGUAUAUGAUUCAUAUAAGAAUAUUUCAUAAGAAUUUCUUAUGCAUGAUAUGUACUUACCUAUCAUAAAAAAAUAACAGAAAAAAUAAAUCUUUCAUUAUGAGUCUCCUUUUCUGCAUAUAGAGUUUCUGUCGAGUGAUUAAAGUGAUGCUAUUUUGAUAAAACCUUAAAAAUUCAAUUUGAGUAAUAGAAAAUCAUAGCACGGAUAAUCCGCAGCCCGGAUAAUCUGCACACGGAUCGGGGUUCUACUGUAGUUGUAUAGGCUAAUUUACAAGAAUGUUAGUUUGUUUUUAUAGAUUUUACUUGAUUCAUAAAUAUUGUGAAAUUUCUUAUAAGAUUAUAUUUACAUAUAUACGCAUACUUAAUUUAGGUCUGAAUUUUAAAGAAUUGUUAAGUAAUGAUGUUAUUUUAUAGACAACAUUAUAAUAUACUAGAGUUGUACUUUAAAAAUCAAAAUAUUACUGGGUCCCAGGCGGGGUUUAGAGGGGUUUUACCUUCGCCAUUGCACCAAUAAGAGCCUCCCCUCCUUUGAUUUCCGAGAUUUUUAAUAAAGAAUAAAAAAUUUUAAACAUUA